AAUGAACGUUGGCGGCGUGGAUUAGGCAUGCAAGUCGAGCGUGUACCCCGCAAGGGGAAAGACGGCGAAAGGGACAGUAAUACGUAGAUACCAACCUUGGGGUCGAGGAUAGCCGCGGGAAACUGCGGGUAAUACUCGAUAACAUCUCCGGAUCAAAGGUGUGAUUCCGCCCUUAGACGGGUCUGCGUCCUAUUAGCUAGUUGGUGUGGUAAUGGCUCACCAAGGCGAUGAUGGGUAGCGGGUGUGAGAGCACGACCCGCGUCAUUGGGACUGAGACACUGCCCAGACACCUACGGGUGGCUG
rnacentral:rRNA from 1 species